UAGGCAUUGAAAAUUGUAAGAGGAGAGGAAUUAGACUCCCAUAUGCAAGAGGAAAGGAAUUAGACCAACAUUCAAAGAGAAGAAUGCUAAAGGAUUUGAAAAUAUAUUUUAAAACCACCAUAAAAAGCGUCACAAAGGUCACGCUGAUGCAAGAGGUGGGCUCACAUGGCCUUGGGCAACUCCAUUCCUAUGGCUUUGCAGGGUACAGCCCCCCUCCCAGCUGCUUUCAGAGGUUGGCAUUGAGUGCAUGCAGCUUCUCCAGGUGCAUGGUGCUGUCAGUGGAUCUACCUUUCUGGGGUCUGGAGAAGCUCUUCUCACAGCUUCACUAGGCAGUGCCCUAGUGUGUCUGGAAUUUAUUCCUUCUGGUGGAUUCUUGGUCUUGCUGACUUCAAGAAUGAAGCCACAGACGCUUGUGG
rnacentral:lncRNA from 10 species